GAUGAAGAACGCAGCGAAAUGCGAUAAGUAAUGUGAAUUGCAGAAUUCAGUGAAUCAUCGAAUCUUUUAACGCACAUUGCGCCCGCCAGUAUUCUGGCGGGCAUGCCUGUUCGAGCGUCAUUACAACCCUCAGGCCCCCGGGCCUGGCGUUGGGGAUCGGCGGAGCCCCCCGUGGGCACACGCCGUCCCCCAAAUACAGUGGCGGUCCCGCCGCAGCUUCCAUCGCGUAGUAGCUAACACCUCGCGACUGGAGAGCGGCGCGGCCACGCCGUAAAACACCCAACUCUUCUGAAGUUGACCUCGAAUCAGGUAGGAAUACCCGCUGAACUUAAGCAUAUCAAUAAGCGGAGGA
rnacentral:misc_RNA from 1 species